UGACAGAGAUACAAACAGAGGAAGUGAGUGAAAUGCAGUCGUGGAACAAACUGAAACUCCCUCCGUCAGUGGAAUCAAACAUGUCAAAAAAACACAUUGUAGGUGUGUUACCACCACCCUGUGGUGUCUGUGAAGGUUCUCAGUCAUCCAGGUGGAAAGAAAAGCGUCUGGACUUCUUUGAGUUGCUUGUAGAUGUAACCCUGGAGAGUUACUAAGGGUUUUAGUGUGUUAUGAGUGAUGUUAGUAUUUCGAGUUCACUGUUAAGUUUUAUUAAGUUAAAUUAUUUUGUUGAGAAUUAAUAAAAUAGAAGAUGUCUAUAAUGUCCUGAUGGUCCUGAAGUAUACAGGGGGAAGUACCGCCUCCUGCUGUUCACUGCGUAGCAGCUACGGAUAUCAGGAAAGAGGGAGAGGAAGAAAAGUGGAAAGCGUGGUUGCUUUUAUUCAGUCGGAUUGUACGGUGGAAAUAAACUAUCUGGGAAUUGUUGUUAACCAGAAAGGAGUUUUGUUACUGCUCGGAUUCUUCUGGUUGUGCUACAAUGCUGCACCAUCGCCAUUUUGAAGCUCCAGGAGAGCCUAUUUUGUUGGUUACUUUGGUAAGAAGUUAUCAUUGUCUAUGUUUUCGAAUAUUCUGUCGUUCUUUCUGUAUACUGGAAAGGUAGAAUGCAAAUUUGUUAGUAUGUAUGAACGAAACAUAAGAAAGGAUAUAUGUAUAAAUGACUGAAUAUAGAUUUUUGAAUGUUAUUCUGACUGUGUUAUACAGGUCAGGUUUUUUUGGGGAGUACAGUUCGGUGAUGAUCCAGUCCAAAGAUGGCGAGCCACCCCUCCAGGAUCCUUGAGAUGAUUGUUUUAAGAAGAGAACUAAAUUCUUUGGACGAGCCAUGAACUGUACAAAUUCUACUUAAGUGGUAGGACAGAUUUGCACUUCAUUCCUCCUUUGCACAUCCUGCAAGGAGAAUCCUCAUUGCUGGACUCACACUUAAGGGUGUUGGCUGACACGAGAGAGAGACUGAUUCAAAUCCCCCGGGGAUGUGUGUGUUUUGUUUAUUAUUU